CCUACGGGUGGCAGCAGUGGGGAAUAUUGGACAAUGGGGGGAACCCUGAUCCAGCCAUGCCGCGUGUGUGAAGAAGGCCCUCGGGUUGUAAAGCACUUUCAGUGAGGAAGAACGCCUGGUGGUUAAUACCCAUCAGGAAAGACAUCACUCACAGAAGAAGCACCGGCUAACUCCGUGCCAGCAGCCGCGGUAAUACGGAGGGUGCGAGCGUUAAUCGGAAUUACUGGGCGUAAAGCGCGCGUAGGUGGCUUGAUAAGCCGGUUGUGAAAGCCCCGGGCUCAACCUGGGAACGGCAUCCGGAACUGUCAAGCUAGAGUGCAGGAGAGGAAGGUAGAAUUCCCGGUGUAGCGGUGAAAUGCGUAGAGAUCGGGAGGAAUACCAGUGGCGAAGGCAGCUUUCUGGACUGACACUGACACUGAGGUGCGAAAGCGUGGGUAGCAAACAGGAUUAGAUACCCCUGUAGUC
rnacentral:rRNA from 1 species